AACGAACGCUGGCGGCAUGCCUAACACAUGCAAGUCGAACGAGACCUUCGGGUCUAGUGGCGCACGGGUGCGUAACGCGUGGGAAUCUGCCCUUGGGUUCGGAAUAACAGUUGGAAACGACUGCUAAUACCGGAUGAUGACGUAAGUCCAAAGAUUUAUCGCCCAGGGAUGAGCCCGCGUAGGAUUAGCUAGUUGGUGGGGUAAAGGCCUACCAAGGCGACGAUCCUUAGCUGGUCUGAGAGGAUGAUCAGCCACACUGGGACUGAGACACGGCCCAGACUCCUACGGGAGGCAGCAGUGGGGAAUAUUGGACAAGGGGCGAAAGCCUGAUCCAGCAAUGCCGCGUGAGUGAUGAAGGCCUUAGGGUUGUAAAGCUCUUUUACCCGGGAUGAUAAUGACAGUACCGGGAGAAUAAGCCCCGGCUAACUCCGUG
rnacentral:rRNA from 1 species